UACGUAGGGUCCGAGCGUUGUCCGGAAUUACUGGGCGUAAAGAGCUCGUAGGCGGUUUGUCGCGUCGAAUGUGAAAACCCGGGGCUCAACCCCGGGCCUGCAUUCGAUACGGGCAGACUAGAGUUCGGUAGGGGAGUCUGGAAUUCCUGGUGUAGCGGUGAAAUGCGCAGAUAUCAGGAGGAACACCGGUGGCGAAGGCGGGACUCUGGGCCGAUACUGACGCUGAGGAGCGAAAGCGUGGGGAGCAAACAGG
rnacentral:rRNA from 1 species